GACGAACCACACAAACGUUAUUCGGAAUUACUGGGCUUAAAGGGUGCGUAGGCUGCGCAGAAAGUUGGGUGUGAAAUGCCUCGGCUCAACCGAGGAACUGCGCCCCAAAAACUACUGUGCUUGAGGGAGAUAGAGGUGAGCGGAACUUAGGGUGGAGCGGUGAAAUGCGUUGAUAUCCUAAGGAACACCCGUGGCGAAAGCGGCUCACUGGAUCUCUUCUGACGCUGAGGCACGAAAGCUAGGGUAGCGAACGGG
rnacentral:rRNA from 1 species